UACGAAGGGGGCUAGCGUUGUUCGGAUUUACUGGGCGUAAAGAGCGCGCAGGCGGUCGUUUAAGUCGAAUGUGAAAGCCCCCGGCUCAACUGGGGAGGGUCAUUCGAUACUGAUCGACUUGAAGGCAGGAGAGAGAAGUGGAAUUCCCGGUGUAGUGGUGAAAUGCGUAGAUAUCGGGAGGAACACCAGUGGCGAAGGCGACUUCUUGGCCUGUUCUUGACGCUGAGGCGCGAAAGCUGGGGGAGCAAACGGG
rnacentral:rRNA from 1 species